rnacentral:siRNA from 1 species
CAAUUUUUUGGUCUCUUGAAUCGU